rnacentral:rRNA from 1 species
UACGGGGGGGGCAAGCGUUAAUCGGAAUUACUGGGCGUGAAGCGUGCGCAGGCGGUUUGUUAAGUCUGUUGUGAAAUCCCCGGGCUCAACCUGGGAAUGGCAAUGGAUACUGGCAAGCUAGAGUGUGUCAGAGGAUGGUGGAAUUCCCGGUGUAGCGGUGAAAUGCGUAGAGAUCGGGAGGAACAUCAGUGGCGAAGGCGGCCAUCUGGGACAACACUGACGCUGAGGCACGAAAGCGUGGGGAGCAAACAGG